GAUGAACGCUGGCGGCGUGCCUAAUACAUGCAAGUCGAGCGAACAGAUGAGGUGCUUGCUCUUUGGACGUUAGCGGCGGACGGAUGAGUAACAAGUGCAUAACCUACCUAUAAGACAGGGAUAACUACGGGAACCCGGAGCUAAUACCGAAUAACAUGAUGAACCGCAUGGUUUAACGGCGCAAGACGAUGUUGCUGGCAGUUAUAUAUGCAUCCGCGCCGCUUUAGCUAGUUGGUGAGGUAAGGGCUUACCAAGGCAAGGAUGCGUAGCCGACCUGAGAGGGUGGUCGGCCACACUAGACGUGAGACGCGAUCCAGACACCAACGGGAGGCGGCGGAGGGGAAUCUUCUGUUGAGGGCGGGAGCCUGACGUGGCACCGCCGCGUGAGUUAAAAAGGUCUUCGGAUCGGGAAACUCUGUUACUAGGGAAGAACAAAUGCGUAAGCAACUAUGCGCGUCUUGACGGUACCUUAUGAGAAAGCCACGGCUAACUACGUG
rnacentral:rRNA from 1 species